rnacentral:lncRNA from 1 species
ACAUGGAGGUAGUUGUGGAUGCAAGAGAAGGCUUGAGAUGAGCGAGGGAAGGCUUGGCUGCGGCAAUGUGGCAUCAACUGUGGUCAUUAUUGUUGCCACAACAUGAAAGUCUGGCUUGCCUCUCUAUGUUGAGCAUGUGAACACCACCAUAGCCUUGAGCUCCUAGUGGCAUAGUUGCUGGAUGGGGAAACCUUGAGCUCCCAACGAUGGUGGCCGCAUCAUUGCAGACCACACAGACUAGGCCUAGCAGCAGUGGCGGUAGUCAGAGGGCCCACACACAGAUCUUCACCCUUCAAUUUAGGGACAUAGGAGUUGUAGGGUGAUUUUGUAAGUGCCUCCUAAAUGAGAAUUUAUAGUGUGAGUUAAUGAAAUAAUGUUAGGUCAUAUUUGGUUCCUAGGAAUCGAGAGGAA